AAAGUUCUUCAGGGCAGGGUGUAAUUCCCGACCGGUGGUAAAUUGUAAGCCCACGAGCCGUAAGGUUGAUUUGGUGAAAUUCCAAAGCCGACAGUAGAGUCUGGAUGAAAGAAGACAACA
rnacentral:ncRNA from 2 species